CCAGAAUAUAUGAAGAUAAUAAAGAUGCACAGUAGCAUUAUAAAUUUCAGGGAAAAAAUUGAAAUACAGGAAUAUAAAUUACUUUGUUUCCUCUAACGUCUUAAGAGUGGAAAACCAGCAGUGGGAGUGAAGAGCCAGAGAAAGGGUUGAGACUCAUCGUGCCAUGGGGAAAAAGCCGUGAUUCGCCAUAUGUCAGAGACUUAGAAAGAAGCUGUACUCCUUUUGCCAGGAUGUAACUGAACAAAUUGACUGUGCAACCAAGGCCUUCCCUGGCGUUCCAACUUUGAGGAUAACUUGCAUUGAAUCAGGUGAACCGAGAACAGUCUGUACAGACAGAGGCAAAUGCUGGAAAAGCCCUUUCUGCAACGGGCUAAGGAAGGGAGAGUAAAUGGAAAGCAGCUAUUGCAGAACAGCUGAGAAUAUGGAGCAAAAGAGAUUAAAGAGUCAACCAGGGCAGCUGAAAGGAGGCAAGUUUGUAACUUUUGGGAAUCUCCUGGAAUCAGGGGCCGAGUGUUGCCACUGGCGUGGCAGUCUAUCAAGUAAAGACAACUGAGAAAUAUUGGAAUUGGGCCACUCUCUGCUGCAGUGGAUCCAGGAUAGGUACAGGAAUCGGAUCCCUGUGUUUGGCACUGGCCUUGCCCCUCUGUAGAUGUGCUGGAAGUCAUAACUUUGAGCUGUAUCUGUUAUUUGAUGCCAGGUUUCGAUGAAAUAAUAUUUCAAAAGGGCACAUACAUUUUUUAAAAUGCUUUAAAAAUGUAAACAAUUCAUCUGUUAAUUACUAUCUUCCAAUAUUUUCAUGUUUAUAAGUGCAAAAUAUAGAGAAUGGCUAUCUAUUUGAUCUUGGCCUAUAAACUUUUUUUUCACUUUUUAAUUUAUAUUAGGAACAACAGGGCUAAGUUAAUUUUACUUUUCCUCAAGCGGCAUUAAAAUAUGAAUCACAUUACCCUGCUUUUACAAAGAUACAAUGUAUCUUUACCAUCUCAGAUUUCGCAUCUUAUUCUUUUCUUAAAAAUAAACAAAACUGCUUUUAUUUUAAGCAACCAGUUCUGUAGGUGAUCUGCUCCACAACUGACCAUGCUUUCCUUUCAUUUUUAAAAAUAUAUGACAUAAUAUCUGGAAUCAAUUUUGGGAAAGAAAAAUUCUUUUCAUAUGCCAUUCACACAACAGAGAAAGACUUAAAUAGGUUUUAUGGUAUGUGAGAUUUCUGGAGUUUCUUUAGUUUUAUAAGAAGAUGUAUAUAUUUUCUUCAUCAUAUUGUAUUAUUUCUCAAAUAUUGUUCUGUUACUGGGGCAAAAUAUGGACAUCAAUGCCCAGAAUAAAACAUACUUAGUUUCUGCUAGAGUAAGUGAAACUAAGUAUACACUCAGUGAUAAAAUACCACUAUGCACAAAGAUAAAUUUCUUUUUUGUAUGUGUCACAAAUAAAUGUUAAAGCAGUUACUCUUCUGAAUUUAGCUAUAAAUGUUAAAAAAACUAUGUGGAUGUCCACUUAGAGUUUUUAAAACAUUUACAUACUCUCUUCUCUAACACAACCCUGAAGGGUUUUUAUUGAUUUCAGUGCUUUGCCUUGAUUCAGGAAAAACAUGCAUUUGGACUUUUCACAGGCCAAUGAAUACUAAAAAUUAACAUUUAAGGCACAUUCAAAAUGUGAAAGGC
rnacentral:lncRNA from 1 species